rnacentral:rRNA from 1 species
GAAGCUUGCUUCUUUGAUGACGAGUGGCGGACGGGUGAGUAAUGCUUGGGAAUCUAGCUUAUGGAGGGGGAUAACUACGGGAAACUGUAGCUAAUACCGCGUAGUAUCGAGAGAUGAAAGUGUGGGACCUUCGGGCCACAUGCCAUAGGAUGAGCCCAAGUGGGAUUAGGUAGUUGGUGAGGUAAAGGCUCACCAAGCCGACGAUCUCUAGCUGGUCUGAGAGGAUGACCAGCCACACUGGGACUGAGACACGGCCCAGACUCCUACGGGAGGCAGCAGUGGGGAAUAUUGCGCAAUGGGGGCAACCCUGACGCAGCCAUGCCGCGUGAAUGAAGAAGGCCUUCGGGUUGUAAAGUUCUUUCGGUAGCGAGGAAGGCACUUAGUUUAAUAAACUAGGUGAUUGACGUUAACUACAGAAGGAGCACCGGCUAACUCCGUGCCAGCAGCCGCGGUAAUACGGAGGGUGCGAGCGUUAAUCGGAAUAACUGGGCGUAAAAGGGCACGCAGGCGGUGACUUAAGUGAGGUGUGAAAGCCCCGGGCUUAACCUGGGAAAUUGCAUUUCAUACUGGGUCGCUAGAGUACUUUAGGGAGGGGUAGAAUUCCCGUGUAGCGGUGAAAUGCGUANAGAUGUGGAGGAAAUACCGAAGGCGAAGGCAGCCCCUUGGGAAUGUACUGACGCUCAUGUGCGAAAGCGUGGGGAGCAAACAGGAUAAGAUACCCCUGGUAGUCCACNCUGUAAACGAUGGUCGAUUUGGGGGUUGAGCUUUGAGCUUGCGCCCGUA